GAGACAUUCAGAGACUAUAAGCAACAGGACUCAUCAGAAAUAUUUGCUGAAUGACUUGUCGAACACCGGAAAGCAUUCUGAUAUUAUUUCUGAGUUUAUCAACAGAGAAAUCAAGUAUUCGGGCAUAGCAUCUUCGUCGGUUCACCUGCAUGGUAAUCUCAAGUUGGAAAGCAAACACGGAAUGCCUUUCUUUGAGUUCAAGGUGAAGUGCCCUGAAGAUGUUUUUUGUGGCCAAGACAUGGAGAAUAGGUAAUGGUUUCAAUUUUGUAUAUACCUUUCACUCCAUCGAUAAUAAUAGAAAGAAGAGUAAUGCCAUCGAGUUGGAGUCUCACGAUUUUGACAAGGAUUCCUCAGUAGUAGCAAAGAUGCUGGUUUCCAGUAAUUUAUGUUCUGAAAUAAAUGACAAAGUAUCCGACAACUCUAUGGUGACGGAAUUUGUGUUGUAUGAUCUUUCACACUCAAGACAUAGUGUUUCGUCCGGAAAAAAAGCCUUUAUGUGAACAAAAUGCGGUUAAAACUCGAAAAGCUUCCCGUGUUGAACCGAAAGAAGAAACUUUUGGGAUGGUUUUUGAAGAGAAGAUGAGCAAAGGUUACUGCAGCAACAUUGUAGAACCAACACAAGGCCAAAUGCAGCAUCCACAACCUCCCUGUUACAAGAAAUUCACUGCAGUAAAAAAUGUACGAUUAGUCCAAGCAGUAAAAUUUCAAAGAGAUCCCAAAUUGGCAUGAAGUCAAAACUGAGCAAGAAAGUACGAAGGUUCAGAUUACCAUUUUCGAACCUAGCAUCAAAGGGGUC
rnacentral:lncRNA from 1 species